UACGUAGGGUGCAAGCGUUAAUCGGAAUUACUGGGCGUAAAGCGUGCGCAGGCGGUUUGCUAAGACAGGUGUGAAAUCCCCGGGCUUAACCUGGGAACUGCGCUUGUUACUGGCAAGCUAGAGUGUGGCAGAGGGGGGUGGAAUUCCGCGUGUAGCAGUGAAAUGCGUAGAGAUGCGGAGGAACACCGAUGGCGAAGGCAGCCCCCUGGGCUAGCACUGACGCUCAGGCACGAAAGCGUGGGGAGCAAACAGG
rnacentral:rRNA from 1 species